AAGACUGUACUUUCAGGGGUCAUCUCUCCAGUUUGUCCCUAGAGACGUCUCUCUGAGUGUGCAGAGCACUGUAAACCAGGAGGAGGCGGUGCGGGUUCUCUCCGGAGCGUGCAGCUGGCUCUCGGUGUUGCUUUACUGCAAUUGCCAUUUGCCAUAGAUGAUUGUUCUUUCUCCCUUUGGGGGAGUAAAAGGGAGAGGGAAAAAAAAAAGAAAGCUGA
ensembl:snoRNA U3 Small nucleolar RNA U3